rnacentral:misc_RNA from 1 species
GUUUUAGGUCUCAGACAACAUCAUUUAAAUAUGUGCUAGCAUAUUGUGAUCUACAAAAUAGGAAGAUGGAAGAAGUUAUUAAAAAGUCAAGAUGAGCUAAUUGCUUGUAUAUGGACCACCGGAUCUUAUAAAGUAGUAUCAAAUAGAUAAUUGAUCUGCCUUCGAAAUUAAAGAGACUGAUUGCUGAUACAAUCAUUGAACAUCGGAAACUCAGGCCUAAACUUU